rnacentral:rRNA from 1 species
CCUACGGGAGGCAGCAGUGGGGAAUAUUGCACAAUGGGGGAAACCCUGAUGUAGCGACGCCGCGUGAGUGAAGAAGGAAUUCGUUAUGUAAAGCUCUAUCAGCAGGGAAGAAAAUGACGGUACCUGAGUAAGAAGCCCCGGCUAACUACGUGCCAGCAGCCGCGGUAAUACGGAGGGGGCAAGCGUUAACCGGAUUGACUGGGUGUAAAGGGAGCGUAGACGGCGGUGCAAGUCUGGAGUGAAAGGCGGGGGCUCAACCUCCGGACUGCACUGCAUACUGUACGGCUGGAGUGCAGGAGAGGGAAGUAGAAUUCCAAGUGUAGCGGUGAAAUGCGUAGAGAUUAGGAGGAAUACCAGUGGCGAAGGCAGCUUACUGGACUGUAACUGACGUUGAGGCGCGAAAGCGUGGGGAGCAAACAGGAUUAGAUACCCGAGUAGUC